UACAGAGGGUGCGAGCGUUAAUCGGAUUUACUGGGCGUAAAGCGUGUGUAGGUGGCUACCUAAGUCGAUUGUGAAAUCCCCGGGCUCAACCUGGGAAUUGCAGUCGAUACUGGGCAGCUCGAGUUCGGUAGAGGGUGACGGAAUUCCCGGUGUAGCGGUGAAAUGCGUAGAUAUCGGGAGGAACAUCGAUGGCGAAGGCAAUCACCUGGGCCUGAACUGACACUGUGACACGAAAGCGUGGGUAGCAAACAGG
rnacentral:rRNA from 1 species